rnacentral:rRNA from 1 species
UUUAACUGAGCGUUCAGUUACUUGACGUAGACCCGAAACCGGGCGACCUACCCAUGAGCAGGAUGAAGCGAAAGUAAAAUUUCGUGGAGGUCCGAACCCACGAGCGUUGAAAAGCUCGGGGAUGACUUGUGGGUAGCGGUGAAAUUCCAAUCGAGCCCGGAGAUAGCUGGUUCUCCCCGAAAUAGCUUUAGGGCUAGCCUCAAGGUGAGAGAUACGGAGGUAGAGCACUGAAUGUCCUAGGGGGUAUUGCACCUACCGAAGACUAUCAAACUCCGAAUGCCGUCAUCUUAUACUUGGGAGUCAGACUGUGGGUGAUAAGAUUCAUAGUCGAAAGGGCAACAGCCCAGAUCGUCAGCUAAGGUCCCUAAAUGUAAGUUAAGUGGUAAAGGAUGUGGGAUUGCACAGACAACCAGGAUGUUGGCUUAGAAGCAGCCACUCAUUCAAAGAGUGCGUAAUAGCUCACUGGUCGAGUGAUCCUGCGCCGAAGAUUUCCGGGGCUAAAACUUACUACCGAAGCUACGGCAUCAGUAAUGAUGGGUAGGGGAGCUUCCCAUACGGGUUGAAGCAUGACCGUAAGGACAUGUGGACAGUAUGGGAGUGAGAAUGUUGGCAUGAGUAGCGAGAUGUGGGUGAGAAUCCCACAGGCCGUAAACCCAAGGUUUCCAGGGGAAGGUUCGUCCGCCCUGGGUUAGUCGGGACCUAAGCUGAGGCCGAAAGGCGUAGGUGAUGGACAACAGGUUGAUAUUCCUGUAC